AGCCGACGCACUUGCGGUCUUUCUCCUCCCAGUGCCGCGCGUUGGCUGUUCCCCUCUGGAGGUUCUAAUACCUUCACACCUGCAGGGCCCAAGCUUCGCUUGUGGCCCUCUUUU
rnacentral:sRNA from 1 species